AGAUGCUCAUUCCAUCUCUUAUGCUCGCCUUCUGGCCUCAUAAACUCAGGAAUGACGCAGAGCCGUUUACGGUGCUUAUCGUCCGAUGACAGAUGUCGCUUAGGCCUCAUCAGACACCAUGGACAUAACGUUGAGUGAAGCACCCAUUG
rnacentral:sRNA from 1 species